AGGUUCUGGGGCGCCACCGCAGUCAUUCUGUUCAGCGGGUAUAGGGUUCUUGGAUAAACAAGCUCUGACGAUCAUUCCCAAACAAGAGUUCAAAAAUGUUUUCCGCAAUAGCAAUGAUAUGGACGGAAAGGAUGCCCUCCUGCACUGAUGCCUCUGGAGGACCACACUUUCCAUUCAGAGACACGCUCAGCACUCAACUCAUGCUGCACACCCGGCCGACCCCAGUACCGACACUCACAGAAUGCAGGUUGGAGAGAGAUGCCGACUUCCGAGGAGGUGUCUUCUUCGGACUGAACGUAUUCCCAAAGAAAGGCAUCUUUGGCCUGAUGAAAGCAAAGCCAGUGCUCCCUUCUCCUAGGGUCAGAAAAAGUCAGGGGUACAAGCAGCUGGAUCACUGACCUUAUGCCAUUGUCUUCAAAUCUUGAAGACAUACAUUUUAUCAUGUGGCUACUAACGAUCCUGGUGCUAUGGUUUGAAUGUCCCCACCAAAACUCAUGUUGAAAUUGAAUUGCCAUUGUUUAACAGUAUAAGGGGUGACUGG
rnacentral:lncRNA from 1 species